rnacentral:rRNA from 1 species
AGGGUGACAGGUGGUGCAUGGUUGUCGUCAGCUCGUGUCGUGAGAUGUUGGGUUAAGUCCCGCAACGAGCGCAACCCUCGCCUCUAGUUGCCAGCAUUCGGUUGGGCACUCUAGAGGGACUGCCGGCGACAAGUCGGAGGAAGGUGGGGAUGACGUCAAAUCAUCAUGCCCCUUAUGACCUGGGCUACACACGUGCUACAAUGGGCGGUACAAAGGGCUGCGAACCCGCGAGGGGGAGCGAAUCCCAAAAAAGCCGCUCUCAGUUCGGAUUGCAGGCUGCAACUCGCCUGCAUGAAGCCGGAAUCGCUAGUAAUCGCGGAUCAGCAUGCCGCGGUGAAUACGUUCCCGGGCCUU